UACAGAGGUGGCAAGCGUUGUUCGGAAUGACUGGGCGUAAAGGGCGCGUAGGCGGCCUUGUCAGUCAGACGUGAAAUCCCCGGGCUUAACCUGGGAACUGCAUCUGUGACUGCAUCGCUGGAGUGCGGCAGAGGGGGAUGGAAUUCCGCGUGUAGCAGUGAAAUGCGUAGAUAUGCGGAGGAACACCGAUGGCGAAGGCAAUCCCCUGGGCCUGCACUGACGCUCAUGCACGAAAGCGUGGGGAGCAAACAGG
rnacentral:rRNA from 1 species